AACCAAAGGGCACACUUAUACAAGUAUUAAUCAGUGGGAACAGGGGACAGGUGUGCGUAAUGAAAGUUCCAGAGGGAUCCGUGAUAGUACCCCGACGCAGUGCACUAGCAGCUCAAUGACACAGGCCUCGAGGACAAUCCCAGGAUCGUUAUGCGGGUCUUUCAGGACCCGGUGCAGCUGCCGAAGUUGUGUCGUCAUCAGAGGGUCAGUUGCCACUGCCAAAGUUGCAUCGGCGACAGACGGACGGACCAGUAGCAGUGGUGUCUGACAGACCGACUGUGGCGGCGUCGGACGGGCCAGUUGUGGCUGCUGAAGUGACGUCGGACGGACCUGAUGUGGCGACGUCAGACGGCCCAGUUGCAGCUGCCAAGGUUGCAGCUGCGUCGGACGGACCAGUCGCAGCAUCGUCGGAUGGGCCAUUCCCGCUGUCUCCCUUAAUGGUCGAUUAUUCUGUCACGUUGGCAUGAAGGAUCGGGAGAGAGGCGCAGGAAUGCAUAAUAGGGUUUUUAUUAUGCCCCAAAUUACGGUGUGCCGAGUAAGGGCACGAAAGCCCAAAACACACAGCACAGGUACUCACACGCACCAACGGACAUUCUAACAAUAAUCGACAGCCCAAUGGAAACCAAAGUGCACACUAAAACAACUACUAAUCAGUGGGAACAGGGGACAGAUGUGCAUAAUGACCGUUCUGGAGGGAUCCGUAUCAUUGUUUUCAUGAGUGUGACAGUGAUUAACUGCUCAAUUCUUUCUAUAGGUUCAAGUGGUAUCGGAUCACUGAGUCAAGUGGCACAGGUUACUACCAUGAUAAGGACCUUUGCUGCUACUGGGCAAUCAGGUCCGGAUAAAACACUUUUGCUGAGGCGUAUGAUAACAGUAGAUAACCGAACGCUUGAGAUGGAUAACAAGAUAAAUACCUUGUUAGUCAAUGGCCAAUGGGUCGGUUGGAGAUUUAUCUUUGCCUGAUGAUCUCAAUCUCCCGAUGGGAUACCAGCAAGGCCUGCAGCUGCUGGAGACCAGGCUGGGCCAGGACACUGAGCUCCAGGAGAGACUUGUAAGUGUGCUCAGAAUUUUAUAUAGCAUUGCAUUUUCCAACUUUGACGAUGUUGUUGCGACCGUUGUAAACUGACGAGACAGCAGCAUGUAUUAAAUUCAUCCGCUCAGCAUUUUGAAAGUAAAUACUUGUUGGAAAUCUGACAUCUGUCUUUACAGACUGUCAUAAUACAUGGAUAUAAAAUAUAUGUGGUUUGGGAGGGAAAUGUUUCAACAUAGUGUGUCAUUUCUAAUACUUUUACAUUUGUAGCUUAGGUGUAUGGCUGUAAAGGGUGCCAAGGACCUGAACUCAACAGUGGGGCGGAUGUUACCUUGCAUUCUGCCAAACCAGCGUGCCAUCGCAAGGACUUAAUAUAUAGUAUAGGACUUUAUAUAGGACUUUAUAUAGGACUUUAUAUUAUUAAAUGUGUUACUUUUAAGUAUUUUUUUAAAGCUUGUUGUGUAAAACCUUCUGCAAUUUAAAUUCAAAACUCAAUGUUCUUUCUUUGUGUAUAGGAACCAUUUGCUAGAACCCUGCAACCAGGGAUGCCACGGAUGAAGGGGUCCAGAUUCAAGUCAACCAUUACAUGAAAGGGGCUUCCGAUCAUGAACGUGGGAGAAGGAGGCGCACAGGGGAGAGGGAUCCGCUGGAGUGAGGGCCAUCAUCAAGUCUCAGAUCACUUUUCUCAAAACCAGGCUCUACCCCCAAGCCACAAGACUGAUCCAACAGCAGAACCCUGGGCUGACUACUGCACCAUACCACACACUUACCAUUUAUUCAUAGACGCAGUUACAUCACAUUUGUAACAUAUUGUGUCACGGCUUUCAUCCUGGGAAGGAGAGGUGGACCAAAAUGCAGCGUUGUUAUAGUUCAUGGUUAUUUAAUAAGAAAACUCAAACAUGAACACAACUACAAAACAAGAAACGUGAAAAUCGAAACAGCCCUAUCUGGUGCAGUAAACAUAGAGACAGGAAACAAUCACCCACAAAAUACCCAAAGAAUAUGGCUGCCUAAAUAUGGUUCCCAAUCAGAGACAACGAUAAACACCCGCCUCUGAUUGACAACCAUAGACUUACCUAGACAACUAAACUGAACACAACCCCAUUAAUCUACAAAAACCCCUAGACAAGACAAAACACAUAAAUCACCCAUAUCACACCCUGGCCUUACCAAAAUAAUAAAGAAAACAAAGAUAACUAAGGGCAGGGCGUGACAGAACCCCCCCCCAAACGUGCGGACUCCCUGCCGCACACCUAAACCCAUAGGGGAGGGUCUGGGUGGGCAUCUGUCCACGGUGGCGGCUCUGGCGCGGGACGUGGACCCCACUCCACCAUAGUCUUAGUCCGUUUUUGGAGCAUCCUAGGAACGGCGACCCUCGCCGCCGACCUAGGAUUGGCAACCCUCCUAAAUGGCCCCACUGGACUGAGGGGUAGCUUCGGACUGAGGUAGCUCAGGACUGAGAGGUAGCUCAGGCUGGUUGACGGCUCUUGCAGCUUCUGGCUGAAUGGCGGCUCUGGCGGAUCCUGGCUAAAUGGCGGCUCUGGCGGAUCCUGGCUGAAUGGUGGCUCUGGAAGAUCCUGGCUGAAUGGCGGCUCUGGAGGAUCCUGGCUGAAUGGCGGCUCUGGUGGAUCCUGGCUGACUGGCAGCUCUGGAGGAUCCUGGCUGACUGGCGGCUCUGGCGGAUCCUGGCUGACUGGCAGCUCUGGCGGCUCAUGACAGACGGGAGACUCUGGCGGCUCAUGACAGACGGGAGACUCUGGCGGCUCAUGACAGACGGGAGACUCUGGCGGCUCAUGACAGACGGGAGACCUCGACUUGGAGCUCCGGUACCGCUUGCUGUGCGGUAGCAGAGAGAACAGUCUAUGACUAGUGUGGCUGGAGGCUUUGACAAUUUUUAGGGCCUCCCACUGACACCGCCUGGUAUGUAGGCCCUGGAUGUCAGCAAGCUUGGCCCCAGUGAUGUACUGGCCCGUACGCACCACCCUCUGUAGUGCCUUAAGGUUGGAGGCCGAGCAGUUGCCAUACCAGCAGUGAUGCAACCAGUGCUCUCAAUGGUGCAGCUGUUGAACCUUUUGAGGAUCUGAGGACCAGUGCCAAAUCUUUUCAGUCUCCUGAGGGGGAAUAGGUUUUGUUGUGCCCUCUUCAUGACUGUCUUGGUGUGCUUGGACCAUGUUAGUUUGUUGGUGAUGUGGACACCAAGGAACUUGAAACUCUCAACCUGCUCCACUACAGCCCCGUUGAUGAGAAUGGGGGCCUGCUCGGUCCUCCUUUUCCUGUAGUCUGCAAUCCGUCAUGAGUGAACAGGGAGUACAGGAGGGGAGGGGCCCCUGUGUUGAGGGUCAGUGUGCCGGAUAUGUUGUUACCUACCCUUACCACCUGGGGCGACCUGUCAGGAAGUCCAGGAUCCAGGUGCAGAGGGAGUUGUUUAGUCCCCGGGUCCUGAGCAUAGUGAUGAGCUUUGAGGGAACUAUGGUGUUGAACCCUGAGCUGUAGUCAAUGAAUAGCAUUUUCACUGGUGUUCCUUUUGUCCAGUGGUAAAAGGGCAGUGUGGCGUGCAAUAGAGAUUGCAUCAUCUGUGGAUCUGAUGGGGCGGUAUGAGAAUUGGAGUGGGUCUAGGGUUUCUGGUAGCAUACUUUCUUAGGUAAAGGAUUAAACAGUGAACAUUGAGCUCUCCUAGAUGGGUGAGCAUGGGUAGCCAUGCGUGUGUGUGUGUGUGUGUGUGUGUGUGUGUGUGUGUGUGUGUGUGUGUGUGUGUGUGUGUGUGUGUGUGUGUGUGUGUGUGUGUGUGUGUGUGUGUGUGUGUGUGUGUGUGUGUGUGUGUGCGUGCGUUGCUAUGCAAGCUUUUCCUGCAAGUGAGAUAUUGACAGCGGCUGCCUGUGGAAAGCGCUUUGAUGUGCUGGAGUGGACAGAGGAACGGAGGUCCUUUCUGCUCUCUCACACACACACACUCUGCUUUUUCACUCCAGCCGGUACUCUACAGGGAUGUUAGUCACAUACAGUAGAUCUAUAUACAGUAGAUCAAUAUAUAUAUAUAUAUACUACCGCUCAAAAGUUUGGGGUCACUUGUUUUUGUCCUUGUUUUUGAAAGAAAAUAACACUUUUUGUCCAUUAAAAUAACAUUAAAUUGAUCAGAAAUACAAUGUAGACAUUGUUAAUGUUGUCAAUUACUAUUUUUACUAUUUGAUUUUUUCAAAUGGAAUAUCUACAUUGGCGAACAGAGGGCCAUUAUCAUCAACCAUCACUCCUGUGUUCCAAUGGCACGUUGUGUUAGCUAAUCCAAGUUUAUCAUUUUAAAAGGCUAAUUGAUCAUUAGAAAACCCUUUUGCAAUUAUGUUAGCACAGCUGAAAACUGUGUGCUGAUUAAAGAAGCAAUAAAACUGGUCUUCUUUAGACUAGUUGAGUAUCUGGAGCAUCAGCAUUUGUUGAUUCGAUUACAGACUCAAAAUGGCAAGAAACAAAGAACUUUCUUCUGAAACUCGUCAGUCUAUUCUGGUUCUGAGAAAUGUGAGAAAUUGCCAAGAAACUGAAGAUCUCGUACAACACUGUGUACUACUCCCUUCACAGAACAGAGCAAACUGGUUCUAACCAGAAUAGAAAGUGGAUUGGGAGGCCCCGGUGCACAAUUUAGCAAGAGGACAAGUACAUUAGAGUGUCUAGUUUGAGAAACAGAUGUCUCACAAGUCCUCAAAUGGCAGCUUCAUUAAAUAGUACCCACAAAUCACCAGUCUCAACGUCCACAGUGAAGAAGCGACUCCGAGUUGCUGGCCUUCUAGGCAGAGUUCCUCUUAAACUUGUAUUUUUAUUGGCCAGUCUGAGAUAACUUUUUCUUUGCAUCUCUGCCUAGAAGGCCAGCAUCCCGGAGUCGCCUCUUCACUGUUGAUGUGUCUGUCAUUAAGGCAACGGGUGGCUACUUUGAAGAAUCUAAAAUAUGACUUAUAUAUUUUGAUUUGUUUAACACUUUGUUGGUUACUACUGUAACGUCAUGUUUUAAACUCAUACUCUUAAACACAUAGAUCCCCUGAACGCAGUUCACUUUCCAGCCCACUUUCCAGCUCACACUUUCAAAGACAUAGAUCCCCCGAAUGCAGCUCACUCUCCAGAUCCCAAUCACCUGAAUUCUGAUCACCUGUUCUAACACCUGUAUAUCAUUUACACACACUAUUUAGUUCAGUUCAUUGCACCCAAUCAUUGUGAGGUAUUGUUUGUUUUUGAUCACAUUCUAUUCGGAGCUCUGUUUAUUUCAAUAUUAGUCCACCCGUGUAUUGUAGUUUUUGGCCAUCCUCACUAACAAAGUUUUUUGCCUAUUCCUUGCCUGUACUUUUGUCAGAUUUCCUGUCAUCAACCUCUUGCCUGAUUGUCCCUCUCCUUGUUCGAGCGGUGUUCGGCGGUCGACGUCACCGGCCUUCCAGCCAUCACUGAUCCAUUUUUCAUUUUCCAUUGGUUUUGUCUUGUCUUCCUUCACAUCUGGUUCCAAUCCCAUCAAUUACAUGUUGUGUAUUUAACCCUCUGUUUCCCUUCAUGUCCUUGUCGGAGAUUGUUUUAUUGUAUGUCAUGUGCAAGUCAUGUGUCGGUGUACCCACUUAUAUCAUUUUUUUUACAUUUUGGUUUUCGGAGUUUUAUGAGCACUUAUUAAACGACUUGCCACCGACACGCACCCAUUACACUUAUCUCCCGGACUACGUUAUUAGCCUUUUUCCCAUGUCUGUACUGUUACCUUUUGGAUUCCCUGUGUAUGACCUUCUGCCUGUCCCUGGACCCUGCUAUCUGCCUCCUCCUGUUGUCCUUUGCUAAAUAAACACCUGCUGCGCCCUGCGCUUGAAACCA